rnacentral:rRNA from 1 species
UACGUAGGGGGCGAGCGUUGUCCGGAUUUAUUGGGCGUAAAGAGCGUGUAGGCGGCCAGGUAAGUCCGCUGUGAAAACUCGAGGCUCAACCUCGAGAGGUCGGUGGAAACUAUCUGGCUAGAGUCCGGAAGAGGAGAGUGGAAUUCCCGGUGUAGCGGUGAAAUGCGCAGAUAUCGGGAAGAAUAUCCGUGGCGAAGGCGGCUCUCUGGUACGGCACUGACGCUGAGACGCGAAAGCGUGGGGAGCGAACAGG